AGUGAACGCUGGCGGUAGGCCUAACACAUGCAAGUCGAACGGCAGCACAGUAAGAGCUUGCUCUUACGGGUGGCGAGUGGCGGACGGGUGAGGAAUACAUCGGAAUCUACUUUUUCGUGGGGGAUAACGUAGGGAAACUUACGCUAAUACCGCAUACGACCCACGGGUGAAAGCAGGGGAUCUUCGGACCUUGCGCGAUUGAAUGAGCCGAUGUCGGAUUAGCUAGUUGGCGGGGUAAAGGCCUACCAAGGCGACGAUCCGUAGCUGGUCUGAGAGGAUGAUCAGCCACACUGGAACUGAGACACGGUCCAGACUCCUACGGGAGGCAGCAGUGGGGAAUAUUGGACAAUGGGCGCAAGCCUGAUCCAGCCAUACCGCGUGGGUGAAGAAGGCCUUCGGGUUGUAAAGCCCUUUUGUUGGGAAAGAAAAGCAGCAGGUUAAUACCCCGCUGUUCUGACGGUACCCAAAGAAUAAGCACCGGCUAACUUCGUG
rnacentral:rRNA from 1 species